rnacentral:lncRNA from 1 species
CCUGUAUCAAUGAUUCUCCCCUCCACUGUGUUUUGUAAAAAGAUUUUGUCUUUGUGAUGAUACAAUUCCCGUUCCAAUCAGAAACAAAUGCAUAUUGUUAAGCCUUAUGGUUCGUUGGCAUCAUAACAUAGAAAACAAAGUGCUUCAUUAAUUCAAAUCAAAACAGAUGGAAAUUAUAAUGCAUUGUACUAAAGCAAGGUAAUCCCAACAGAAAAAUUCGUUUGGUGUUUUAAACCGGCAAAAUGAAUAACAACAUCAUCCCCAUGAUUUCAUUGCUUUGUACUUAUUACAUAGUUUAGUAUUUGUCGGUCUCCAUUAAACAUCCAUCUGAAUCUCUCUAAUAUCAACUGUGAAAAAUCAAAAAUUACCUCCAUGAAUCAGUCAAGCAAAUGAUCGAAUAGUUGGUGGGCAAAUGAUAAUGCAAGACAAACUGCCAAUAGUAAGAAAUUUAUGCAAUAUAAGUAUCACGAAUUUCAUUGCUUUUUACUUAUUACAUAGUUUAGUAUUUAUCAGUCUCUACUAAACAUCUAUAUGAAUCUCUAAAACUAAUAUUAACUGUGAAAAAUCAAAAAUUACCUCCAUGACUCAGUCAAGCAAAUGAUUGAAUAGUUGGUGGACAAAUGAUUUUUACAGGUGUAAAAGCAGCAGUCCUGAUUUUUACAGACUGAAAAUCAACAACUUUUUCCAUGGCCUUCAUGGAAGGAUUCAAGACCCACGCAUCUGUAAGAAAUGAAUGCACACAAAAUUUCCUGAAAGAGAUGGACAAAGAGAUGGACAAAGGAUGGAGAGAGAAAGACAGGAGUGGCGUCGACAUUAUUUAGAUCUAGGGUUUAAUGGGUUUCUUGAAAAAUAGAUACAAAGAAUGAGGGAAAUGGAAAUAGAUACAAAAAAUUACUGAUAUAUAUCGGCUUCAUAUUUGGAAAUUCCAAAGAAUUAGGGCAAAAUGGGAGAGACAAAGCAUAGAAAAAGAGACGGUGGACACAAUGGCAGAGUCAAUAUACACAAAUUCGUUCGUUGAAGUUACUGAUUUAUGGACUUCAGUUUAGAAUGUUGAGCGUUACUUGUGGAAUAGAUUAGCAUCAUAUUUGUUCUGAUAUUCAGUUUCAAAAC